rnacentral:lncRNA from 1 species
CCGGACGUGGGAGAAGUUGAGCUGGGAGCUGAUGUGUUGAUUGCUGGAUCCUUGAAGCUCGCCGAACGGCUGGAUUGGUUAGUUUGAAGUCAGCUUGAUCCUCGGUUGCAGGGGAUGGCGAGGACGUGGACGUCAGGUUGAGCUUACAGCUGAGAUGGAGAUGCUGGAGGCUUGAAACCGGUGGAUAUGGCUGCGAACAGAGGAUCUUUGGAACGAAUUUGAUAGGUUGGUUCUCAGAUUAUUGGAGUCGGAAAGUUGUUUGGAUGGAUUCGGGAGAUUGAGCUGCUGAGAACGGAAGAAACGGCUGAAGCUCGUGAUGGUUUUGUUCCGCUGAAACAGGGGAUGCAUGGGAUUUGUUCCGAAGAGGAGAUAAGGAUGGAAUGCUGGAUUUGAAUGGGAUUGGCUGCAGAUGUUUGGGAUUAAUCCGGGAGUUUGGAUGAAGCUCACGGCUGGGAAUGGAUGUAAAGUGAUCCGGAAUAGGGGAAAUGAUGAGAAGAUAAGCUUGAAUCUUAUCCGUGGGAGAUAUGGAGAUGAAGCUAAUCCAAGCUUAUCCGGGUUGGGAGGAAAUCCUUGGACUGCGGACGAUGUGGACGCUGAUGUUGUUUGGCAUGCAUCGCAGGAGAAGAUGACGCUGGAUCCGUGGUUGUGAAGUGAUCUGGAUGAUUGGAAUUAAUCCAGGUUGAAUGAAGGGUUAAUCAGUUGGAAUGAGGGAGUUGUUCGUUUUGAAGUUUUGAAUUUGAUUCAGCUGGAAAGAGCCAACGGCUCUGUUCUUUGGAUUCGGAAGAAAGAUACGGGAGCUAGAAGAUAAGGAUGAAGUAGGGGAGGAUGCAUUUGGAUGUUGGGAAUUUCAUGAGAUCAAGCCGUGGACGAUGGGAUUCUAUUCUCAUCGGAAGAGGAGUUCUGUCUUGAGGUAGGGAAUAAUGUGGAUGAGGAGUUCUGUCUUGAGGUAGGGAAUAAUGUGGAUGAAACGAGCUGGGCGAUGGAGUUGGAUCCAUGCGGACAGUUUGAGCCGUGAUAAGAUGAUAUGAGCUGGGAGCAGGGGAUUUUGUUUGGAUGCUAGGAUCUAGCGGAAGAAAAGUGAAGGCUUGAACUCCGUUUUGUUAAGCUGGGAGGUGACGUGGAAGCUAGAAUGUUGCCCAUGGCUGAGAAGAGAUGAGGCUUUGGGAUCUGUGCAACUAAGAUGGUAUGCCUUGGGAUCUAAAAGACAAAUAAUUGAAGGGAUUUUAUUAAAAUAGGAGAAUUGGAUCAUGUGGAAAAAGAGUUGGAACGAGUGGAAAGAAAUUUAGGUGAACGUGUGAAGAGUCAGGAAUUAAUGGGAAGCACUGGAUUUUGGAGAAGAGUUCUUGGAGUCGACUCUAGAGGAUGUAAAAUGAUGCAAUGUAGUUUAGGCUUUACCUAAUUAAGCGUGACUUAACCUGCAUACAUUAAGCUCAAUCCGUAAAUAAGUAAAACUCGAAUUACCUUUAAUAAUUUAUUAAAAUGCAAUGAUAAAGGUAACACAAUUUU